GCACUGCUGAGGUGUCCCACAAUACAACGAAACGGCCGUCCAGUAC
rfam:Schistosoma haematobium scaffold507_12, whole genome shotgun sequence.